CUCUCCGCUGUAGCCAGCCUCCCCUACCGCCUAUUCGGCCGAAACUGUUGCCUUCCUCACCUAUAGCAGCCUCGGCCGCUGCCAUCGCUCCAUUAAAGUCCGCGCAGCCGAGCUGUCCCUCCACCUAUUCCACCCUAAUAAACCCCCUGCUAAAGCCUAGAGCCCAUUCCGCCCGUCAAUUUAACCGGAUGCGCUCUCUGGGCGGAGGCCCUCUUUUUGGUUCCGUCGGAGCUUCUCGGGUAAGCUUGUCGCCGACGACUUUGUCUGCCAUGGCGACCUCACCGCACCUCCUCAUGAUCGCGGAAGGUUCCUGAGACCGAUGGUGUAGUCACCUUCCAACGCCGCGUCCCCAAUCGCUGACGAGCAUGGCCGGAGGCCUCGCCUCCGCUCGGUCACAGGAAGGAGAAGACCAAUGGGAGAAGUCAAACCCGACGGUGGGCCAGGCAGGACUCGCUGUCACAUCAUAGUCGCUCGUGCCCGUGGAUAAGUAAAGGCGUAUUAUCCUGUAGUACGUCUCCCCUUCUCUGAAAACGUACUCCUAGCCGAAUCCUUUUAUUUUUAUGAUUUAGUUUAAAAUCAGAUUUGGCCACCACUUUGACUGCGUUUAUCUUUUAAAUUACAACUCCACUUUAUUUGAUUAAUUUUCCACACUUCCCAAAUUUCAUUUAAUUUAUUAUAGAACUUAUAUCAAAAAUUUCCAAGACAACUUUUUGAGCUAUUUUAGAAUCAUGUGAUGAUUUGAAUAUUUUGAAAAUAGGGAAAUGGAGGAAAGAUUAAAGUUUCAAAAGUUUUUUAGUGCACUCUGCCUUUCAUCAAAUCCAAGGCAAGCAUUUUGAAUACUCAUAUGAUUUGGCCGAGUAAUUAUUUGUGGUGGUGCAUGAUCUGCAUGGUUAUGUAUCAUUGUUGAGAAAAUCGUUAACUGGUACCUGCUCGGGUGGCUAGCAAGUAGGGGAUUAAUAGGCUAAUCGACAAGUUAAUCGGC
rnacentral:lncRNA from 1 species